CUCUCUGCUAGGGUUUUCUUUAACCCAAACUCCCUAGCUGCCACAACCACUUCGGCGAACCCGAAUCUCCCCUCCGGUUCUGAUUUGGCAGCAAACAGGGUUUUAUCUUCCUCCACGCAGAUGAAGAUUCGGGGAGGCGGCUAGUGCGAAGACCCUGGUUGCGGCGCAAGUUCAUCCUAGAAACCCUAGGGUUUUUGAUUGUUUGGGCCACUGGAUUUGGGGUUUGGUUUUGGGCCUCUGUUUGAUUUGGGCCACAUAGGCCCGUUUGUAAUUUAGGCCCUUUUGACCCGGGCAAAAAUAGGGUAUUACAAUCGUUAUAUUCUUAGGAAAGUAUUUAGUGAACCAAACGUUUUUAAUUAAUA